rnacentral:rRNA from 1 species
CCUACGGGAGGCAGCAGUGAGGAAUAUUGGUCAAUGGGCGGAAGCCUGAACCAGCCAAGUAGCGUGCGGGAUGAAGGCCCUACGGGUCGUAAACCGCUUUUGCACGGGGAUAACACCCUCCCCUUGUGGAGGUCUGCAGGUACCGUGCGAAUAAGGGCCGGCUAAUUCCGUGCCAGCAGCCGCGGUAAUCCGGAAGGCCCGAGCGUUAUCCGGAUUCAUUGGGUUUAAAGGGUGCGCAGGCGGAAGAUCAAGGCAGCGGUAAAAUUGAGAGGCUCAACCUCUUCGAGCCGUUGAAACUGGUGUUCUUGAGUGAGCGAGAAGUAUGCGGAAUGCGUGGUGUAGCGGUGAAAUGCAUAGAUAUCACGCAGAACUCCGAUUGCGAAGGCAGCAUACCGGCGCUCAACUGACGCUCAUGCACGAAAGUGUGGGUAUCGAACAGGAUUAGAUACCCUAGUAGUC